CCUACGGGGCGCAGCAGUCGAGAAUCAUUCACAAUGGGGGAAACCCUGAUGGUGCGACGCCGCGUGGGGGAAUGAAGGUCUUCGGAUUGUAAACCCCUGUCAUGUGGGAGCAAAUUAAAAAGAUAGUACCACAAGAGGAAGAGAUGGCUAACUCUGUGCCAGCAGCCGCGGUAAUACAGAGGUCUCAAGCGUUGUUCGGAAUCACUGGGCGUAAAGCGUGCGUAGGCUGUUUCGUAAGUCGUGUGUGAAAGGCGCGGGCUCAACCCGCGGACGGCACAUGAUACUGCGAGACUAGAGUAAUGGAGGGGGAACCGGAAUUCUCGGUGUAGCAGUGAAAUGCGGAGAUAUCGAGAGGAACACUCGUGGCGAAGGCGGGUUCCUGGACAUUAACUGACGCUGAGGCACGAAGGCCAGGGGAGCGAAAGGGAUUAGAUACCCCUGUAGUC
rnacentral:rRNA from 1 species